UCUUCCCUCUUUCUUCGUGCCUAAUACAUGCAAGUCGAGCGAACGGACGAGAAGCUUGCUUCUCUGAUGUUAGCGGCGGACGGGUGAGUAACACGUGGAUAACCUACCUAUAAGACUGGGAUAACUUCGGGAAACCGGAGCUAAUACCGGAUAAUAUUUUGAACCGCAUGGUUCAAAAGUGAAAGACGGUCUUGAUGUCACUUAUAGAUGGAUCCGCGCUGCAUUAGCUAGCUGGUAAGGUAACGGCUUACCAAGGCAACGAUGCAUAGCCGACCUGAGAGGGUGAUCGGCCACACUGGAACUGAGACACGGUCCAGACUCCUACGGGAGGCAGCAGUAGGGAAUCUUCCGCAAUGGGCGAAAGCCUGACGGAGCAACGCCGCGUGAGUGAUGAAGGUCUUCGGAUCGUAAAACUCUGUUAUUAGGGAAGAACAUAUGUGUAAGUAACUGUGCACAUCUUGACGGUACCUAAUCAGAAAGCCACGGCUAACUACGUG
rnacentral:rRNA from 1 species